CCUACGGGGGGCUGCAGUGGGGAAUAUUGGACAAUGGGGGGAACCCUGAUCCAGCGACGCCGCGUGAGUGAAGAAGUAUUUCGGUAUGUAAAGCUCUAUCAGCAGGGAAGAAAGAAAUGACGGUACCUGACUAAGAAGCCCCGGCUAACUACGUGCCAGCAGCCGCGGUAAUACGUAGGGGGCAAGCGUUAUCCGGAUUUACUGGGUGUAAAGGGAGCGUAGACGGCGAUGCAAGUCUGAAGUGAAAGGCGGGGGCCCAACCCCCGGACUGCUUUGGAAACUGUAUGGCUAGAGUGCAGGGGAGGUAAGUGGAAUUCCUGGUGUGGCGGUGAAAUGCGUAGAUAUUAGGAGGAACACCAGUGGCGAAGGCGGCUUACCGGCGCCCAACUGACGCUGAAGCACGAAAGCGUGGGUAUCGAACAGGAUUCGCUACCCGUGUCGU
rnacentral:rRNA from 1 species